AACGAACGCUGGCGGCAUGCCUAACACAUGCAAGUCGAACGAGAUCUUCGGGUCUAGUGGCGCACGGCUGCGUAACGCGUGGGAAUCUGCCCGUUGGUUCGGAAUAACAGAUGGAAACGACUGCUAAUACCGGAUGAUGACGAAAGUCCAAAGAUUUAUCGCCAGAGGAUGAGCCCGAGUAGGAUUAGCUAGUUGGUGUGGUAAAGGCGCACCAAGGCGACGAUCCUUAGCUGGUCUGAGAGGAGGAUCAGCCACACUGGGACUGCGACACGGCCCAGACUCCUACGGGAGGCAGCAGUGGGGAAUAUUGGACAAUGGGCGAAAGCCUGAUCCAGCAAUGCCGCGUGAGUGAUGAAGGCCUUAGGGUUGUAAAGCUCUUUUACCCGGGAUGAUAAUGACAGUACCGGGAGAAUAAGCUCCGGCUAACUCCGUGCCAGCCGCCGCCGUAA
rnacentral:rRNA from 1 species